rnacentral:rRNA from 1 species
AGCGAACGCUGGCGGCAGGCCUAACACAUGCAAGUCGAACGAACCUUUCGGGGUUAGUGGCGGACGGGUGAGUAACACGUGGGAACGUGCCUUUAGGUUCGGAAUAACUCAGGGCAACUUGUGCUAAUACCGAAUGUGCCCUUCGGGGGAAAGAUUUAUCGCCUUUCGAGCGGCCCGCGUCUGAUUAGCUAGUUGGUUGAGGUAAUGGCUCACCAAGGCGACGAUCAGUAGCUGGUCUGAGAGGAUGAUCAGCCACAUUGGGACUGAGACACGGCCCAAACUCCUACGGGAGGCAGCAGUGGGGAAUCUUGCGCAAUGGGCGAAAGCCGGACGCAGCCAUGCCGCGUGAAUGAUGAAGGUCUUAGGAUUGUAAAAUUCUUUCACCGGGGACGGUAAUGACGGUACCCGGAGAAGAAGCCCCGGCUAACUUCGUG